rnacentral:rRNA from 1 species
AUACGGAGGGUGCAAGCGUUGUCCGGAUUUAUUGGGUUUAAAGGGUGCGUAGGUGGCGUGUUAAGUCAGUGGUGAAAGCCUGCAGCUCAACUGUAGAGGUGCCAUUGAUACUGACAUGCUUGAGUAUGGACGAGGUAGGCGGAAUUCGUGGUGUAGCGGUGAAAUGCAUAGAUACCACGAAGAACACCGAUAGCGAAGGCAGCUUACUAGACCAUAACUGACACUAAGGCACGAAAGUGUGGGUAGCGAACAGAAUUAGAAACCCCAGUAGUCC